UAACCAUAGUGCUCUACCUCUACUGUAUGAGUAUGAGUAAUUCUAUUCUUUUUCUAUUGCUCUCUGCCAUUCCUUCCGUCGAUUCUAGAUUGGAGAGCAUUCAUUGCUUUCUUUGAGGUUUUGCUUGAAAUUCUUCGGACAAAUCAACAUGUCUUCUGCAGUACAGUUGGGAGCAAAUAAUGCAGUAGGGGCAAUCAAUUGAUGAUGGUGAAACUACCAGGCUAGCAUUAUAAAGAAACUUCUUUUUUACUCGGAAUAUGCAAAAGCUCCACAAGGCGAUGAUUAAAGAGCUUGCAUUAUCAAAGCUACUAAGGGCAAAGUAGGCAGAAACUUCACUUGUACAAUGAAUGCCCUCUUUCUUCCUUUCAAGUGAAGUAGGAAGUAAAUGUAAUAGCAAUAACACUGGUUCAUGAUAAGGGUCCUAGUCCAUCAAAGAUGAGUGUGUGGGUCAAUGUCAUGUUGUAAUAGUUUGUACAAACUACAAAGGCAUAUAGCAAAGCUACUAGUAGAUAGUCACUGUUUUAUUUCAUCAUUGAUCUAUUAUGAUAAAUCAGCCUUAUGUUCAGAGGACAAUGGCUGAAACUCAUACUCCUGGCUCAAGAGAUUGUUAAGAAUCAUAACAAAACCUCUUUGAUCCCAAGAUGUGCAAUUGAAAUAACCUCAUGAAGGCACAUGACAAUCUAUAAUGUGUCUGGGGAAUUAAACACUCA